CACGACGACGAAGAAGACGACGACGACCACCAAACUCAUCAUCACUG
rnacentral:sRNA from 1 species